rnacentral:rRNA from 1 species
CAAUAGCGUAUAUUAAAGUUGUUGCAGUUAAAAAGCUCGUAGUUGGAUUUGUGGCGUACGGUGUGUUCCGGGCACUUGUUGUCUGAGUAACCUGCUGUUGCCAUCCUUGGGUGGAACCUGUGUGGCAUUAGGUUGUCGUGCAGGGGAUGCCCAUCAUUUACUGUGAAAAAAUUAGAGUGUUCAAAGCAGGCUUAUGCCGUUGAAUAUAUUAGCAUGGAAUAAUGAGAUAGGACUUUUUUGCUAUUUUGUUGGUUUGCGCAAAGAGGUAAUGAUUAAUAGGGACAGUUGGGGGUAUUCGUAUUCCAUUGUCAGAGGUGAAAUUCUUGGAUUUUUGGUAGACGAACUACUGCGAAAGCAUUUACCAAGGAUGUUUUCAUUAA